AUGCAUGUGCUUUAUUGCUAUGUGUUGUUUAUGUGCUAAAGUGCUAUGUUGUGUGUUGUUUUCCAGAGAGUAAAGAUGAGAGGAACUCGUCGAUCAGCUCGAUUGACUGGAGUCCCACCAGAGAGUGAGAGACCAACUGCUCGUCCUCCUGCAUUGCCGAGGGCAAGGUCUCAGAGAUCUAGCAGGGAAGGUACGUCAAUAGACCCUAGAAGGUCUGUAGACGAGAGCAGAAGAGGAACAGUUAGGGGA
rnacentral:lncRNA from 1 species